rnacentral:misc_RNA from 1 species
GAUGAAGAACGCAGCAAAAUGCGAUACUUGGUGUGAAUUGCAGAAUCCCGUGAACCAUCGAGUUUUUGAACGCAAGUUGCGCCCGAAGCCUUUUGGCCGAGGGCACGUCUGCCUGGGCGUCACGCAUCGCGACGCCCCCCACAAUUCUCCGUAAAGGGAACAUGUGUUUUGGGGGCGGAUAUUGGUCUCCCGUGCUCAUGGCGUGGUUGGCCGAAAUAGGAGUCCUUUCGAUGGACGCACGAACUAGUGGUGGUCGUAAAAACCCUCGUCUUUUGUUUCGUGCUGUUGCUCGCAAGGUAAACUCUUUAAAAACCCCAAUGUGUCGUCUCUUGACGACGCUUCGACCGCGACCCCAGGUCAGGCGGGACUACCCGCUGAGUUUAAGCAUAUCAAUAAGCGGAGGA